CUCUCGGCAACGGAUAUCUCGGCUCUCGCAUCGAUGAAGAACGUAGCGAAAUGCGAUACCUGGUGUGAAUUGCAGAAUCCCGCGAACCAUCGAGUCUUUGAACGCAAGUUGCGCCCGAGGCCUCUUGGCCGAGGGCACGCCUGCCUGGGCGUCACGCCAAACA
rnacentral:rRNA from 4 species